UGGUGGAGCGAUUUGUCUGGUUUAUUCCGAUAACGAACGAGACUCUGGCCUACUAAAUAGUGGGCGGAUUCAGUUUGUCCGCAAUACUUCUUAGAGGGACAAGCGGUGUUCAGCCGCACGAGAUUGAGCAAUAACA
rnacentral:rRNA from 1 species